UGCAGUCGAGCGGACAGAAGGGAGCUUGCUCCCGGAUGUUAGCGGCGGACGGGUGAGUAACACGUGGGUAACCUGCCUGUAAGACUGGGAUAACUCCGGGAAACCGGAGCUAAUACCGGAUAGUUCCUUGAACCGCAUGGUUCAAGGAUGAAAGACGGUUUCGGCUGUCACUUACAGAUGGACCCGCGGCGCAUUAGCUAGUUGGUGGGGUAAUGGCUCACCAAGGCGACGAUGCGUAGCCGACCUGAGAGGGUGAUCGGCCACACUGGGACUGAGACACGGCCCAGACUCCUACGGGAGGCAGCAGUAGGGAAUCUUCCGCAAUGGACGAAAGUCUGACGGAGCAACGCCGCGUGAGUGAUGAAGGUUUUCGGAUCGUAAAGCUCUGUUGUUAGGGAAGAACAAGUGCGAGAGUAACUGCUCGCACCUUGACGGUACCUAACCAGAAAGCCACGGCUAACUACGUGCCAGCAGCCGCGGUAAUACGUAGGUGGCAAGCGUUGUCCGGAAUUAUUGGGCGUAAAGGGCUCGCAGGCGGUUUCUUAAGUCUGAUGUGAAAGCCCCCGGCUCAACCGGGGAGGGUCAUUGGAAACUGGGAAACUUGAGUGCAGAAGAGGAGAGUGGAAUUCCACGUGUAGCGGUGAAAUGCGUAGAGAUGUGGAGGAACACCAGUGGCGAAGGCGACUCUCUGGUCUGUAACUGACGCUGAGGAGCGAAAGCGUGGGGAGCGAACAGGAUUAGAUACCCUGGUAGUCCACGCCGUAAACGAUGAGUGCUAAGUGUUAGGGGGUUUCCGCCCCUUAGUGCUGCAGCUAACGCAUUAAGCACUCCGCCUGGGGAGUACGGUCGCAAGACUGAAACUCAAAGGAAUUGACGGGGGCCCGCACAAGCGGUGGAGCAUGUGGUUUAAUUCGAAGCAACGCGAAGAACCUUACCAGGUCUUGACAUCCUCUGACAACCCUAGAGAUAGGGCUUUCCCUUCGGGGACAGAGUGACAGGUGGUGCAUGGUUGUCGUCAGCUCGUGUCGUGAGAUGUUGGGUUAAGUCCCGCAACGAGCGCAACCCUUGAUCUUAGUUGCCAGCAUUCAGUUGGGCACUCUAAGGUGACUGCCGGUGACAAACCGGAGGAAGGUGGGGAUGACGUCAAAUCAUCAUGCCCCUUAUGACCUGGG
rnacentral:rRNA from 1 species